ensembl:lncRNA
GGAAAAACUGUGAUCAGCGAUUGGUCGUUGGGAACAAUGGCGCUCAAUGAUUGGUUGUUGGGAACAAUGUAAAUCGUUUAUUGACUGUUCAGGACAACGUAGAUUAAAGAUUGGCUGUUGGGAACAAUGCGGAUCAGUGAUUCAUUGUUGGGAACAACAGUGUUCAUUGAUUGGUUGCUGGAAACAUUGUAGAUCAUUGAUUGUUGGGAACAACGUAGAUCAGUGACUGGUAAUUGGGAACGAUGGCACUCAGUGACUGGUUAUCGGGAACGAUGUAGGUCAGUGACUGGUUGUCGGGAACGAUGUAGGUCAGUGACUGGUUGUUGAGAAUGAUGGUGAUCAGUGAUUGGUUGUCGGGAACGAUGUAGGUCAGUGACUGGUUAUCGGGAACGAUGUAGGUCAGUGACUGGUUGUCGGGAACGAUGUAGGUCAGUGACUGGUUGUCGGGAACAAUGUAGGUCAGUGACUGGUUGUCGGGAACGAUGUAGGUCAGUGACUGGUUGUCGGGAACAAUGUAGGUCAGUGACUGGUUGUCGGGAACGAUGUAG